UACAGUACACAAAGUAAUAUAAUAUUAAUAUUAAAUAUUAUUGAGAAGGUAAGUCGAUAAUACAAAAAUCGAUAUAUCGAAAAAAAAAUCGUCGUGUAUUAAUCAUAAUAUUAUAGAUAUUGUAGUUAGGUUGAAAGUUUUAAAUGUUUAAAUAAUUGAUCGCCCGUAAACUAUACUAUAAAAAUAUCAAUACGGAUAUUCAAGUUCGAAAGUAUAAAUGUAGAUAAUUUUAAAUUUAUUGAAUAUAGAACUUUAAAAUCUGGUGAUACGAAUUUUAUUACAAAUGAAAAAGGUUCCGCUAGUGUUUUAAUCAAUAAUUGAAAUGCAAUUUUAAAAAUGACAAACACACAUAAUCACUGUGAGUAUGACCACCAAAUAAUGAUUAGAGAAGUAGUAAGAAGCAAUUUAAAACGAAGUGCCGAAAACGAUUCACACAUAAAACCAAAUAAACUAAUACAACGAGAACUAUAGAAUACCGAAAACAAUGAAAAUUUGCAUUAUAACAAUAUGAAAUUAUUUCGAAGAUCCAUAGUUAAAGUUAUAAUUAUUACAAUGUUAUUGAAGAGUUUGAAAAAUAAUCACACUUGAACACACACACACACACACAUUUUCAAUCACACCUGUGGAAAACACAUAGUCUAAGCCUAUAUUAAAGUGAGUAGGUUCGGUUAGGUUAGAUUAGGUUUCCCGCCUAAUUUGAUUAAUCGUGUAACUAAAAAAUAACUCAGCCAGACAUAAACAAAAAAUUUUUCGAUUAUUAUUUAAAAACUACAAAAUGU